rnacentral:rRNA from 1 species
GAUGAACGCUAGCUACAGGCUUAACACAUGCAAGUCGAGGGGAAACGGCAUUGAGUGCUUGCACUCUUUGGACGUCGACCGGCGCACGGGUGAGUAACGCGUAUCCAACCUUCCCAUUACUGUGGGAUAACCUGCCGAAAGGCAGACUAAUACCGCAUAGUCUUCGAUGACGGCAUCAGAUUUGAAGUAAAGAUUUAUCGGUAAUGGAUGGGGAUGCGUCUGAUUAGCUUGUUGGCGGGGUAACGGCCCACCAAGGCGACGAUCAGUAGGGGUUCUGAGAGGAAGGUCCCCCACAUGGGAACUGAGACACGGUCCAAACUCCUACGGGAGGCAGCAGUGAGGAAUAUUGGUCAAUGGACGGAAGUCUGAACCAGCCAAGUAGCGUGCAGGAUGACGGCCCUAUGGGUUGUAAACUGCUUUUGUAUGGGGAUAAAGUUAGGGACGUGUCCCUAUUUGCAGGUACCAGACGAAUAAGGACCGGCUAAUUCCGUG